GCCAGCAUGGUGUUGUGGUCUGAGCAUUGGAUUAUGACUCUGGAGAUCAGGGUUCAAUUCCCCGUUUGGCC